rnacentral:misc_RNA from 1 species
CGCACUUUCUUGGCAAAAGCUUUUAUUCAAUUUUCUAAGAUAAUUCUAUACAUCUUGAAGAAAAAUCAUGAAAAAAAAAGGUUUGUCAGUUGUCACCUACAGCUGAUUCUUAUGGUUCUCCUCGUGCUAAUACCUAAAUAUAAGAAAAUAUUGUGCAUAAAUCAACUUUAGCAGGAUAUUUCUAUUUCUAAAUUCUAAGAAAGAACAAAGAAAUCCAAGAAAAUACACAAGCUAGGGUUAUAAAGGUGCAGCCUGCAUUUUGUUUGAGAUUGUAUCAUCCGCCUUCAAUGAUGUCAGUCUAGAUUUGAAUUCUUUUACAAGAUGCCACAAGUCCUCCCCCAAGGACCAUUUGGGGUCAUUUAGAGCACGUAUAGAAUUGAGGCAAACGAGGAGAGUACCACCUUCGUGUAAAAGAACCUACACAUUUACCAAAGAAACUUGAUCCUGAAACAUAAAAUUGAACUGAAGCAACCAAGAAUUUUAAAACUGAAAAUUUUGAAGAAAACAGCAUCCUCUUGUAUAACUCAUGUUUUUCAUACCAGAAGAACAGGGUGAAUGGAUAAUGACUGAUGAAUUUACGUGUCAAUCAAUGAACAGAUUUUCGUAAAGUUCAUUUGUGGAGAUUACACAUGGUGUAGAAAGAAUUCUUCUUCAUGUGGAGUCUGGAAAUUUUGCAAUUACAUCAGUUGUUUGUGGUACUUCAACAUGGAAUCUAUUGCAAUUAUAUUGUUUGAAAUAAAAUUUAACAAUCAUGUUGUUCUAGAUGAAAGCCACUAUGCUACAGAGGGAAAAAAAGGUACAUGGUUUGAGAGUUAUUUCCAAGACAAAUGCUGCACAGUAAAAACCAAAAGACAUGAGUAAUGAGAAGUAAAAGAAGUUACGAAGACAUGGACUCGUACCGUCAACCAAAGGGGAAGAAACCCCAAAACAGAUGGAAGAGAGGCCAGAACUAUACGAAUUAAAGCAAUGGCCACAUUUUGCUUGACCAGAGAAGUUGUUUGGCGGGACUUUGCAAUGCAGAAUGGAACACCAGAUAUAUUGUCUCGCAGCAACAGGACAUCUGCAACUGCUAUGGCAGUUGCACUUGCAAGUUGAGCAAGAACAAUACCAACAGUUGCAGCAGCAAGUGCUGGUGCAUCAUUGAUACCUUCACCUACCAUAAUCAGACCUCCCCCCAUAUCCCUUGAGAUACUCUUCACAUGAUUGAGCUUGUUCUCAGGCUUCAGGCUGUAAUGAACUUCAGUGAUACCCACAGCUCUUGCAACUCUUAGAGCACUCGAUUUGUGAUCACCAGUUAGCAUCAUAACACGGAGCUUUGCUUUAUCCUGUAAUUCUGCUAUCACAUCUGAAACCCCAACGCGAGGUUUAUCCUCAAGGUGAAUCAAUGUUACCUUUUCAUCUACAGAAAGGGCAGCAUGAACAAAGUCACUUCCAAAAGAAGAUGCAUUAACAGCUUCCUUGAUCUUUCUUGAUUCAUCUUCGGAUUUACAAAGUGAAGUGAUGAACUCUACAGAACCAAGUGAUGCCUUCAACAACUUAACUCUUCCAGUUCCUGUCUCCAUGUUAUUAAGAGUUGCGGUAAGACCUCUACCAGGAAAGUAUUCAAAACUUUCAACAGAAACGGAAGGUAGGUCUUUGCCUAUGCUAUGAUCUACAACAGCUCUUCCAAUGGGGUGAGUAGUACCCUUUUCCAUAGCAGCUGCUACAGCAAGAGCUUCUUUCUCACAGCUGGGAGUGCAACAGGAAGUGAAAUUUAUGUUCUUGUUUCUUACCAGAUGUCCAUAAAUUGGUUCAAUUGCUUUAAACAUAAGCCCUCCGGUUGUCAAUGUCCCAGUUUUGUCAAAUGCAAUUGUGUGGCAGGAUGCUAGAGCGUCUAAAACCUGGCCUCCUUUAAGCAAUAUUCCCUUUCUAGCACAGGAACUAAUAGCAGUGGCAUAUGCCAAUGGAGCUACGGCUAAGGCACAUGGUGAUGCUGCCACCAUCAGCCCUAGUGCUCUGUAUACUGAUCCUCUGCAGACUGAUGUGCUAAUGAAUGGCCACUUGAAAAGAAAUGGCCCAAGCAGAGCAACAGCAAUGGACAACCCUACAACCACUUUGCUAUAUCGCUCACCAAAUUCAUCUAGCCACCUUUGAAGCUUUGGUUUAUUUAGUUGUGCUUCUUCAGUCAAUUGUACUAUCCUGUUCAGUGUUGACUCUUUCCACAUCUUUGUGGCCUUUACAAUCAUUCUGCCAUCCAAAUUCCUUGCACCACCAGGAAUUCUGUCUCCAACUUUUGCCUCUAUUGGUUUGAUUUCACCAGUCAAAUGCUCAAUAGUAAUUGUUGCACUACCUUGAAAAACUUCACAAUCUACAGGUACCGCCUCACCAGUUCCGACCAAAAUAAAUGAGCCCACUUUUACAUCAUGCACAGGGACACUUUUGUAUGACAAAGCAGAGAGAUCCGGUAGUUUCUCAUCAUUCACAUUUAACAAAAGAGCAGAAUCUGGAUGAUUGUCCUUCAACUCCUUAACAUCCACCAUUGAGCGGCUGGUGAAAAUCUCUUCAGCAAUAUGAGCUAGAUUGAACAUUGCAAGAAGUAAUCCUCCUUCCAAGGUAUUGCCCAUAAAUAAUGAUGCAAAGGCGGCUAGAGCCAUCAACACGUGAAUAUUUACUUUCCCACCAAUAACAUCAGUAAGCGCAUCAAGUGAUCCUGAAACCCCAACUAGAGGGAAGGCGAUAAUCAUGAAAGCAUUUUGAAGAGGCUUGACUACUGGCUUGGGCAUCACAUAAGGACAAGCAGCGGCUGCCACAAACAAGGCCGCGGAGCAGCAGCAGAGCUGCAAGUGCUCCCUCAAUAAGUUGGCCAGGUCCACCCACCCCACAGCUUUUGCAAACCUAAUAAAAGCCUUCUGAGACGCACUCAGCUCCUCACAAUCUCCACGAUGAGGGUGGGGGUGGUGGGGGUGGUGAUGGUGAUGAUUGUGAUGGCGGUGGUCGUGGUGGUGGUGAUCAUGAUCGUGGUGAUUAUUGGCCUCGCAAACGCACCGAACAGUCUGGUUAUGGAGAUUGGGAAAUUUUAGAGAAGAGGGCAGGAAAUGAGAUGGAAGAGAAGUUCGAUGAAAAAUGGGAUUGAGUGAAUAGAGUGGCCAUGGUCCUCUGAAGCGAGUGAAUAAGGGGAAGUCGGUGACGCCGAUUGCCGGAUGGAGGGUGGCGGUUUCCAUGGUGAUGGGAUUGAAUAGGAAUGGGGAAAUUUCAGUACACUAGAACAAGCGGCUCCGAUGGAAGAAUGAAAGGGGUUCAGAUUUCGGAGUCAAGAGCGUA